AUCUUAUUUAUUUUAAUUUGAUGCAUUCAUGCUCUUAUAAAGUAAAUAGAAGUUCUUUGUACAAAAAUAAUAUUAAGACUAAAAAUUUUAUUAUCUUACUAUUAUUAUUUUUUAUUUUUUUUAUUACAUAUUUCUACUAGGCUCCUCUUUAAUAACAUAAAUAUUUUUAUUUUUUUACUAUAUAGUCAUGUUAAUAUACGAUAGUGGAUGCCAAGCCACUUGUAGAGGCAAAUACUCCAAGUAGUAUGGAAUUGCCAUUGCCAAUUGGAAUAGAUGUUAGACUCCUUACAAAAGCAAAGGCUUUGAUUGGAGUAGAUUUCUCAUCACUGAUUGGAGUGGAUAUUGGUUUACUUAUGAAGGUGGAAUUGCCGACUAAGGUAGGAUUUCUAUUGCUAGUAAGAGUAUUGUGUAGAGCAAGAAACAUGUUAGUAGCUAAGGUUGAACUGGAUCAAAGUUCACUACUAAAUGUGUCUCAAUUAGAUAGAAUGUAGAAAUAUGAGUACAAAAGAUGAUAUACUUUAGGAGUUAGAAUGAUAGAAAUUACAUACAUUGUAUUUUGACAUAUUAUUAUUUGUUUUGGUUGUGAUAUAAAGAUAACAAGCAAAAAUGUGACUGUUUAAAAAAAAUUAGAUUAUUCUAAAGAGAGAAAACUACAAGCUUAGUGUAAUCUUUGUUAAAGAGGUGAUGUUUUUUUUUUUUGAUUAAGAUAUUGCUACAUUAUUAAUCAUUUUUUCAAAUUGAAAAAAGAUUUUUUUGAAGAUCAGGAAUAUAAAGUGUAUUUAUAAGGCAAAUGAUUUUACCAUUGAUGAAGCAAAUUUCUACAUUUCUUUCAUCACAAAUGAGAAGAUUGGUAUCAUUACCUAAGUAAACUUUGUAGUCACUAAGUAACAAUAAUGUAAAAUUGAUGAACUAUUAUUUAUUACGUAUUAGAUGGUCAAUGGCAAAAAAGUCAACAAACUAAUAUGCAUCUUUUGAUUCACCUUGAUUUGAUGAUAUCUUAGAAUGAAAAGCUUGGAUGAAGUAGAUAUGAAUAUAGAAUAUAGGAGGUAUUUCUUCUAUAUUAUUUAGUUUCUAUGUUAUUUUAUUUUUGUAAGAAUUAUGAGAUGUUGUUGUUGUAUUUGCAACAUAUUUGAAUUUCUUAAAGCAAUUUAAAUUCCAAUGCCCCAUCUUUUUGCAAUGAAGAUAUGAUGUUUUUAAUUUGACUUUAUUUUUUUGUAUAUUUGUGGUCUUUUGAAGGUGAUUUUGACACUUGUUUAUGUUGCCACUUGGCUUUGCAAUUGGCAAAGAAUGCUUGGGACUUAGAUGACAAGUUUUUCAUAGUUGUCUCUUUUUGAAGGAAGUCGGCAAUCAAUUUUUGUAAUGUUGCAAUCCUUGUUAUGCAUAAUGUUUAGAUUACAAUACCAUAUUAUAAUGGCAUGAAUUUCAUUAGGGUAAAAAAUUCCAUUUGUAAUGGUAUGAUCAAUCAAAUAGAGUGACAUUGUUCAAAUAUGGUCUUGAAGUUGUAGAGAUAUUGUAUGAUGGAUUUUUUUGCUUUCAUCUAAAAUAUUAUGACUAUUUGUGUGGGUGAGUUUAAGUAACUAUACCAUUUGCGGAGUAGAUAUUUUUUAAAGCCAAUUGUGCUUUAUUGGAAAUUUUGUAUGCUCCUAUGUAUAAAAAGAUAAAAUUGCAUAUGCAAUCUCAAAGUAUUCUAAGUGCAAUAUUAUCCUUUUUCUUCAAUGUGAGUAUUGCUACUUGGUUUAUUAUUAUUGAUGUGAUUUCUUUUGUUAUUGGUUUUGGUUUACUUUCUUUUUCACUCACUAUCUCCUACAAUUCUUCCAUUUGUAUUUAAUCUUGAUUUUUUGCCUCCAAAUAGUGUACCAAAAUCUAUCAAAUUUUAGUCAUUUCUAAGUGGUGAUGUUGUUUGAAGUCAUUUUUGUGAGGGAAGGUCUAUAGAUGCCCUAAUUUUUGUGGAGAAUGUCUUCAUUACAACACUUCUUCUUGUAUACUUUUUUUCUUUAGUUUUCUAUAAUUCUCUAAGCUUUGAUACCAUAUUGGAAUUAGGAGUGUAAUUCUAACAUUAUUUUAUUUUAUUUUAUUUUUAUUAUAUAUGAAAAAAUGAUUUUAUAUUGUAUUGUGUUUCUAUUUUAUCUUAUCAAAGGAGGUGAAACACAAAGAGUUGUGACUUUGCAACAAUGUCUGUUCAGCAUUUAUAUUGCCAAAUAUUAGUUAUGUAUUGACUUUGUGAUUUCUAAUAGUUUACAGGUGCCCUAGUUUCUUUGUAGAACAUCUUCAAAAAAACUUCCUUGUCUUAAAUGUGUUUAUUACUACUUUUUUAGAAUUUACAAAUUCUUCUAAAGAUACUUUGAUAC
rnacentral:lncRNA from 1 species